rnacentral:rRNA from 1 species
GUGCCUAAUACAUGCAAGUCGAGCGGGCUUUGCCCCCGGGUAAAGCUAGCGGCGGACGGGUGAGUAACACGUAGGCAACCUGCCUGUAAGACUGGGAUAACUACCGGAAACGGCGAUUAAGACCGGAUAAGUGGUCUUCUCGCAUGAGGAGAUCAAGAAUCACGGGGCAACCUGUGGCUUACAGAUGGGCCUGCGGCGCAUUAACUAGUUGGUGGGGUAACGGCUCACCAAGGCGACGAUGCGUAGCCGACCUGAGAGGGUGAUCGGCCACACUGGGACUGAGACACGGCCCAGACUCCUACGGGAGGCAGCAGUAGGGAAUCUUCCGCAAUGGACGCAAGUCUGACGGAGCAACGCCGCGUGAGUGAUGAAGGGUUUCGGAUCGUAAAGCUCUGUUGCCAGGGAAAAGCGUCGCGGAGAGUAACUGCUCUGUGAAUGACGGUACAGUC